rnacentral:lncRNA from 1 species
GUCUCUGCCUUCAGACAACAGCAACCUGACCAAGACAGAAGUUUCUUCUUGACAGAGAUUCAACCGCCACAUGUCUCACUAUGCUCUUCGGGGGCGGAUCAUGGCAUACUGCAACAGCCUGAGAGCCCUGCUGGACGAUUUCCCUACCAUCAGAGAUACCUUUUUCGUGCUGGGACAACCACAAGAAGAGAAGGGGUCGAGGGACUCCAAGGAGGGCCUCAAGCCUGACCCCAGUUUUCCAGAUGUUCGUAAUUCAGCCUACCUAGAGUUCACUCACUUGGAUGGAGGAGUUGGCAUACCAGUGCUGUAA